UAAUUAAUAUUAUAAUAAUAGCAGUAGAGCAUUAUAAUUCUCCAUUAAUUUCCCAGAUUAGGGCUUCAAUUUAUCAGAAUCUGAAACUAGGGUUUUCUGAUCAAGUAUUAGGGUUUCAGAUUUGGAAUUAGGGUUUUGUAAUCAAUAUGUUAAGAUUAACCCUAAUUAAUAUUAUAAUUAUUUACACUUAUGCCAUUAAGUUCCCAAUUUAGGGUUUCA
rnacentral:lncRNA from 1 species